UUUGUUAUGCUUGCUGCAGUUAUGUCUGGAUUUCGCUGGACUAUGACUCAGAUUCUUCUGCAGAAAGAAGCCUAUGGUAUGACAAAAUUCAUAAAGGUAGCACAAGUGAAGAUGAAACUG